AGGCAGAGAGAGAGGAGUGUGUGAAGAAGAGCCCAGGUUUGUCAGUCCGGAUCAGAACCGCUGGGCUUUCUUUACUCAAAGAUGAAGUUUUUUGAUCCCACUUGUCGCAGCAGGAUUACCUGAGUGUCCGGAGCGGAGCGGAAAACCGGAUUGGACCUUUUCCGACUUAUCAGCUGUUUGGUGAAGGAGAGCCAUCAUGAGCAGACAGGGCGAGGGCCCCCGGGGGUCCAGGAUGCCCCAGAACGUCAAGCCUAAACCGGGCCAGCCGGCUCCGACCCGGAAGGACCGGCCCCAAAAGGCGCGGCGCUCCCGCAGCAGCGACUCAGAGCGAGGGAGGAGGCGGGAGCGUCUCCAUGACGACCGGCACCAGCGGGGCCACAGCGAGGAGACGUGGCGGCGGGACGGGACGGACGCGGAGCGGCGGAACACGCCCCCCGUGGACAUGCUGGGGGACACGGAGUGCGCCGUGUGCUUCUGUUCCUAUGACAACGUCUUCAAGACGCCCAAGCUGCUGGCCUGCGGUCACACUUUCUGCCUGGAGUGCCUGGCGCGCAUCAACGUCACAUCGCCGGAGAUCAAGACGUUGUCGUGCCCCGUGUGCCGCGUCCUGACCGAGCUGCCCCACGGCCGCGACCUGCCCCGCCUGGGCAACAACCAGGACGUCAUCGGCCGCCUGCCGGACAACAUGCGCCGCGCGCUGUCCAUCCGCUUCCAGCGCAGCAAGGGCCGGCUGCUGCUGAAGCACCGGCCCCCCGCCGCCAAGCCCGCCGCCCUCAGCCUGCCCGUCAAGAAGCAGCAGGCCCCGCCGGCGGCCGCCCAGGGCACCGACCCGGCCGCCGCAGAGGAGGGCGGCGCCCCGCCCACCAUGGUGGACGUGGGCAGACCGCCGAGCAGGAUGAGGGGUCGCGUGCGGCGCCUGUUCCACGCCGACCGCUGCUACUACGCCGUGGUGGUGUCCAUCAUCACCAUCACCGUGGCGCUGAUGAUGGUGGGCAUCCUGGCCUUCAUCAUCGUCCCCAAAGUGACGCCCGGACCUGGCAGACCCGGCGGGAACUUUACCGGCUCCUCCUCACAUGAUAACAGUGACGACUAAGAUCCGAACUCACCCUGAAGGGGCGGAGCCAAAGGGGGCGGGGCCUGAAGGGGCGGGGCCAGAGGUUUUACUCCGGGUGUGAAACAUUGAAGGACGAGGACUGAGGCGUUUUUUGCGGCUGAGCAUGAAGAACUUUGACCCCUGAGGGGUCAGGAAGGAUUAGGCUGAGGUUUUACUCCAGAUAUGAAGCGGUGAAGGAUUGAGGAAGAGGAAGAUGGCGCCGUUUCUCCAGGCUGAGUGUGAAGGAUAUGGGGUUCCAUCCGUGACGAUACAGUGAAAAAUUAACGGCAAUAAUUUAAUAUUUAACCAUCAUAAGAGAAAAAAUGGAAAUGAAUCUUUCAUUCAUCUUUUCACCAUAUUCUUAUGCUCAUUGUUUAGUUAGCAAAUUAAAUAUUUAACUUUAAACUAAAAAUGUUGCUCCAAGCUAAAUAUUUAAUUAGAAAGCUAAAUAAUUAGCUGGUUCAAUAUCUACUUUGAAACUGUGACAUUUAUAAAUGAAUGAAUGUGAAACUGUAACUUUGAAACCGUUUUCUCUUAUGAAAAUAGAUAAUUACUGGUUAGGUUUUGACUGCGUCUCUCAGCCACCGAAUCUGAAUGUGAAACAGAAUCGGGGGGAGAAUCGUCUCCAGACCAUGAAAAGCACUAAACCUUCUGAAACUCCUUAUUUAUACCCGGAACUCUGAACAGAAAUGAUGUACAGAGACUGACAGGAAUCCGAUUCAAUAAAACUGUUUUUAUUCAAAUGCUUCCUGGAGAGUUAUUUUAUCUCUGAUUUCCCUGAACUGUGACACCUGACACUCUAGUGGUGAAAGCACAACGGCUGAGAGCGGGCCCAGUUCGGGCCCAGUUCAGGUCCAGGUGGACCAGCCGGUUCCACCGCAUGCCGACACACUGCUUGAUGCCGGGUCCGUAACCCAGGGCAACAGAAGGAAUGCGGGAAUGUCAGGAAACAUCCGGGCGACCAAAUCUGAUCCCACAUUACAGGAACAACUGAAACAGAAAUAAACUGAAACCUUUUAAUUUCAGCUGCCUUGAGGUCUGGACUUUGACUAGACCAUUGCAACCUCUAGAUUCCGUUGCAGAUUGGGAGUGCAGCUUUGAAAAUCAGCUGCUGUCCACUUUUGCUCUGCUGUGGAAGGAUGAAAAACAAUUUAAUUGGAAAAAUAAAAACCUAAAGGAAGGAAUAUUUUAUUAUUUUUAUUUUAUUUUAGUUAAUUUAGUAGUUUGGGUAAAACCAGGGGUCUGUAAUCAGGCUAAACAUAAUUGUCAACUAAAACACAAAUGUAGGUCUCAACAGGUUUUUAUUAAAUAAGUACAUUAAAUUUCCACAACAAAAAUAUAUCAAAGUACCAGCUCUGACACCAGCAGAAGUGCUCUACUGCAGUUUUUCCUUCCACUAACCUUUCUGUUAUGGACCUUUGACAGUAUUUCUAGUUGCUGAUGAGCUUUGUGGUCGUGACAACUUGUCUGUAUUUUGCUCAGUCUUCCAGCUGCCGUUGUUUCUCUCAGAUAUGAACUUUCUGAAUGAUAAUUUCUCAGAUAUAGCUGAAUAUCCUGACUUGUGUAAUCAGUGUUGUUGCUGUUCUGUGUUUCUCUGCUCUGGAAGCUAAAUUAAGACCUUUGACCCAGUUUUAUUUGGUGCUGAGUCUCAUGACAGCCUCUCCUUGAAGACACACCCCAGUGGGACUGGAACAUGGUCUGGACCCCUCGGCCCUCCGCUGCUCCCCUCCUUUAGCCUCUCCAAGCCUCAUUAUGUGACUCUCUGCUCGGCUGCGGACCUCCAGGACGAACCGACUCCUUCUCGCCAUGGCUUCCACCCCCUCCGCCUCGGCCCUGUCCGCCGUGCUCCGCUGCAGGGGGAACAUCUGGACCAGGAACCCGCCGACCAAGCGGCCUGCCUCGGCGGCGUACAGCCUCGGACUGGCCGGCGGGACGCUGCGCGACUCCCCGGCGAAGCGCGGCGGAUCAUCCCGCGGGUCCGAGUGGAGGAUUCUCCGCCGAGGAGAGCGCCUGGUGUCGGCCGCAGGGCUCUCUGUCUGCUGCAGGGGGGGUAGUGGAGACGGUGAAGCUCCGGCAGAAGAAGUUUUUAAGAAAAAUCAUAAAUUAUCUUCUUCCAAACUUUCCCAAUCCUCGGCUUGUGGCGCCCCCAGCGGCCAAAAGGCGCCACUGCAGCAGAGAGGCGCCGUCUUCUCCAAAAUAAUUCACAUCUUCAUCCCUGAAGCAUCAGAGAGGAUAUGUCUGCAGGGCUUCAUUCAGCUUCCAGUCAGAGUCCUGAAGCUCUCUGUCUCCAUCAGCUCUGGGUUGAAGGUGCAAAACCCCGGUUCUUCCCUCACCUCCUGGGUGUCCUGGUUCAUUUUCUCAAAACGACAGAUAAAGAGUAGCAGCACUGACCCAACACAGGAAAACACACAGAAGCAGGAAAACAUGUGCAGUUCUGGCCGACAGAUGACCCAUGACCCACCUGACUGAGCUCCCCGCAGCCAGACUCCAGCCCAGCAUCGAUCUGCUUACAUUUACUCACAGGUUUGGACGUCGGCCUGCUGGCGCCGUCAGGACCCGCGUCGCUUUAGCUCCCCCUGAACUCCGAGUCAGGAAACAGGAAACCAACGAAAAGCACCAUCUAGUAAAACUUCUGGUGAAAUUCAAACACUGUGGUUAUUUUUCCUUCUCACUGCACAAAAAAUCUGUUCAAUACAAACAGAAAACUACCACACAUGAAACGGCUUUCAUGUCAUUUCCCUUGGCGAUUGUUCAAAAUGGGGUUUUUAAUAAUCAGCUUCUGAAAAUAAAAUCGGUUUCAUUGUUUCCAGUUUUCAGACAAGAAAUAUGAAAACAUGAAUGCAUUCAUUCAUCCAUUUCUUACCUGCUGCUUAAUCUGGUCAGGGUCAGAGGUCAGUUUAUGUAGUCUACUGCAGCGUCAACAAAGAGCCAGUUGUGCAUGCACACCCAGUAAGGUCAAAGGCCAAGCUCAGGAACCAAAAGAGAAAACACUACAGAUUAUCCAGAUUAAGACUCUAGGAACCAGGAGGUCCAGAUGUUCCCACUUUGCACCCAACCUCCAGUGAUCCAUAUGAACACAUGAACAUGAACACAUGAAUAUGGCUUCCUGCUGGUGUUUCCAAGAAAAUGUAAAGUUCAGCUACCAACCUGGACCAGAUAUUCACCGGAUGAAUGUGGAAAGAGUUUCAAAAAUGACCUGAUUCUGAUUCUGACUCUUAUUAUUUUAGGAAAUCUAAAAAUAUUCUGCAGAUAAAUUAUCCUGUUUUUUACAGUCCUUGAAAAACGGGUUGGUCUACAUUUACUUUCUCCCUGAACAGAAAGAGUUUGAAAUGUAAUCAGCCUUUCAGGAAACCAGAGCUUCAGUUUCACAUCCAGUUGAGUGUAAAAUAAAACGUUGUUUUACCAACA